GGAUGUGAGGCAAUCUGGCUGCAGCAUCUGUCACCCCAUUGAUCACCAGCGUUGAUCCUGCUGAUGUGACUGGUGAGGCCAUGUCCCCUUGCCCCCACCACUCCAUGUGUGUCCCUCCUGAAGCUGCAUGCUCGGUCACAGAGAACCAUUUCCUCAUCAACGCUAUAUGAGCAGCUGCUCUGGCUAGAACUUCCCAACAAGCUCUCAAGGUCCAAAAUGAAAUUUAAAAAACAUAUACAUCACUUCUGCUUUAGCUCAGAUUGU
rnacentral:snRNA from 1 species